CUUUCUCUUUUUUGUUUUUUUCUCUCCCCCAUGGCCAUCAACUGCACGCGAGUGCUGGUGCCCGUGAUGUCAGGUCUGCUCACCGCAACCCAUCGUCAUCGACAUCAAAGUCACUCUACGGUUGUGAGGAGCCGGCCACUGAGCCAUUAAACUCGGGGUUGACAGGUGACAAAGGGGAGUUGAUGACGUGUUGUGGAGAACAUGUUGCAACCUGUGGAUGGAGUAGGGACAAUGGACUGGCAGCUUGCCCACACUCGCCCUACUCUGCACGAGUGGACCAGGGGCACCGGAAGUAGGCACUAACCCUGACUGACGCGACGUCUGGCGGUGAAAAUGCUGUUUGGACAUGGGAGAGGGGGAAGAAUGUACAGCGGUCUUCUCUACUUUAUUAUUUUAAGUUUAAUUUUACAUUCAAUUUAAUUUGAAGAAAGAAAUUAAAGUUAUUCAAAUGAAA